UGGGGAAUAUUGCACAAUGGAGGGAACUCUGAUGCAGCGACGCCGCGUGAACGAAGAAGGCUUUCGAGUCGUAAAGUUCUUUUAUAUGGGAAGAUAAUGACGGUGCCAUAAGAAAAAGCCCCGGCUAACUACGUGCCAGCAGCCGCGGUAAUACGUAGGGGGCUAGCGUUGUCCGGAAUCACUGGGCGUAAAGGGUUCGCAGGCGGAAAUGCAAGUCAGGUGUAAAAGGCAGUAGCUUAACUACUGUAAGCAUUUGAAACUGCAUAUCUUGAGAAGAGUAGAGGUAAGUGGAAUUUUUAGUGUAGCGGUGAAAUGCGUAGAUAUUAAAAAGAAUACCGGUGGCGAAGGCGGCUUACUGGGCUCAUUCUGACGCUGAGGAACGAAAGCGUGGGUAGCAAACAGG
rnacentral:rRNA from 1 species